rnacentral:siRNA from 1 species
ACAAUAUCACGUACACCGUCGGC